UUCUUGAUAGCUCAGUUGGUAGAGCAUGAGACUCUUAAUCUCAAGGUCGUGGGUUUGAGCCUCACGUUGGGCAA